GCAAACUUGGUCAUUUAGAGGAAGUAAAAGUCGUAACAAGGUCUCCGUAGGUGAACCUGCGGAGGGAUCAUUACCGAGUGAGGGUCUCCGGGCCCGACCUCCAACCCUUGUCCCAAGACAUCAAAUGUGAGCUGUCUUGGGGGCCUCCCGGCCUCCGCGUCGGGGCCCCCGGCGGCCCGCCCUUCAAACUCUUGCGUCUUUGCGUCGGAGUCACAAACGAAAUGAAUCAAAACUUUCAACAACGGAUCUCUUGGUUCUGGCAUCGAUGAAGAACGCAGC
rnacentral:misc_RNA from 1 species